GACGAACGCUGGCGGCGUGCUUAACACAUGCAAGUCGAACGGUGAAGCGCCUUCCUUUUUGGUGGGUGUGGGUGAGUGGCGAACGGGUGAGUAACACGUGAGUAACCUGCCCCCUUCUUCUGGAUAACCGCAUGAAAGUGUGGCUAAUACGGGAUAUUCUGGGUCUGUCGCAUGAUGGGUCUGGGAAAGAUAUUGUUUCGGUGGGGGAUGGGCUCGCGGCCUAUCAGCUUGUUGGUGGGGUGAUGGCCUACCAAGGCGGUGACGGGUAGCCGGCCUGAGAGGGUGGACGGUCACACUGGGACUGAGACACGGCCCAGACUCCUACGGGAGGCAGCAGUGGGGAAUAUUGCACAAUGGGCGCAAGCCUGAUGCAGCGACGCCGCGUGAGGGAUGGAGGCCUUCGGGUUGUGAACCUCUUUCGCCAGUGAAGCAGGCCUGCCUCGUUUGUGGGUGGGUUGACGGUAGCUGGAGAAGAAGCGCCGGCUAACUACGUG
rnacentral:rRNA from 1 species